rnacentral:rRNA from 1 species
AGGUUUNCGUAGCUCAGGUACGGACAAGCUUGACCGCCAGGUCAGGUGAUCCUUCUGCGUACACUGCCGAAGCCUUAGCAGCCGAAAGGGUGCAGUCGCGACUCAAAGAAAGGAGGACUGCUGAAAUGCUAGUCUGCAGAAGCAGGCAACACUAUCAAAUUGCGGGAACACCCUAAAGACCUCAACACCAAGCGUCAUGGGAAACCAUGGCGUGGCCGAGCUAAUAGCCCUGGGUAUGGUAACAGCUUGAGGUAUGAAGCCUUCGCAAGGAGGCUGAAAUGGGCAAUCCGCAGCCAAGUCCUAACGUGCUCGAAACCGAGUGCCAUGGAUGCUGUUCACAGGCCAAAUGGUAGUGGGUGACUCUUGCGAGUUGCUUAAGAUAUGGUCGGGCCCCUUCAGAAAUGUGGGGGAUAAGCUUACGCUUCUCUAAACCGUUCCGUAGGUGAACCUGCGGAAGGAUCAUUA